ACCUUUUGACCUUCUGACCUUAAAUAGCCAACAUCCUGUCACUAUGUGAAAAGGAACAUUCUGCUUGCUUGCUUUUGGAAGACCAGAACCUUCCCGUGAUGAUCCCACCUGACUCCUACUCAAUCCCAGCCAAGCUAGACCACCCAUAUACCCCCUUACACACACACACACACACACACACACACACACACACACACACACACACACACACACACACCAUCUUUAUUCUCUACUUUGUUUUCUUUCUGUUUGUUUAUUUGUCUGUGCAUGUGUGUGCGUGUGUGUGUUUGUGCGCGUGUGUGUGCAUGCAUGUGUGUGUGUGUGCGUGUGAUUGUGCGCAUGUGUGUGCAUGCAUGUGUGUGUGUGCGUGUGUUUGUGCGCAUGUGUGUGCAUGCAUGUGUGUGUGCGUGCGUGCGUGCAUGCAUGUGUGUGUGCGUGCGUGCGCGCAUGUGUGUGUGCGUGUGUUUGUGCGCAUGUGUGUGCAUGCAUGUGUGUGUGCGUGCGUGCGCGCAUGUGUGUGUUUGUGCAUGUGUUUGUGCGUGUGUGUGUGCAUGCAUGUGUGUGUGUGUGCGUGGGUACGUGUGUGUGCAGGCGUGCGUGCGUGUGUGUGUGCGUGUGUUUGUGCGUGUGCGUGUGUUUGUGCGUGUGUGUGCCUGCAUGUGUGUGUGUGUGCGCGUGCAUGUGUGUGUGUAUGCAUGUUUGUGCGUGCGUAUGUGUGUGCGUGCGUGCGUGCGUGUGUGUGUGCGCGUGCGUACGUGUGUGUGUGUGUGCAGGCGUCCGCGUGCGUGUGUUUGUGCGUGUGUGUGUGCCUGCAUGUGUGUGUGUGUGUUUAUGCGUGUGUGCGUGUGUGUGUGUGUGUGCAGGCGUCCGCGUGCGUGUGUGUGCGUGUGUUUGUGCGUGUGUGUGUGCCUGCAUGUGUGUGUGUGUGUAUGCGUGUGUUUGUGCGUGUGUGUGCGCGUGUGUGUGUGUGUGCGUGUGUGAAUAAACGUUGCAUUCACCUGUGAAGGUAAGUCAACAUCGUUGCUCCAAUGGAUUGCUUUAGUCAACAUGAGCCUCACUGGGAGGUCAGCAACCAGCGUGCGGCGUUUUAGCUUUUUCAAAAAUGUAUGAAACUGGAAAACAGUGAAAAGAAAAAAAAAAAUGUUUUGUCGUAAUUUUUUUUCCGCAGGAGGACAAAAAAAAAUGACACAAACCUUCCUAGUUGUUAGAAAUCCCAUUGUUUGUAUUAAACACGCUUCAUUUGGGAAGCGCCGUUUUGUCCUACUAAUUCUGGCGGACCUUGAACUCGCCGUGGUUUGUUUACACGCGCAACUUUCUCCCACGCUGCCACAGAGAGACGUCUUUAAAGGCCUACUGAAAUGAGAUGUUCUUAUUUAACCGGGGAUAGCAGGUCCAUUUUAUGUGUCAUACUUGAUCAUUUCGCCAUAUUGCCAUAUUUUUACUGAAAGGAUUUAGUAGAGAACAUCCACGAUAAAGUUGGCAACUUUUGGUCGCUAAUAAAAAAGCCUUGCCUGUACCGGAAGUAGCAGACGAUGUGCGUGUGACAUCACGGGUUGUGGAGCUCCUCACAUCUGAACAUUGUUUACAAUCAUGGCCACCAGCAGCGAGAGCGAUUCGGACCAAGAAAGCGACGAUUUCCCCAUUAAUUUGAUGAAGUAUGAAAGAUUCGUGGAUGAGGAAAGUGAGAGUGAAGGAGUACAAAAAAAGGCGAAGGCAGUUGAGAGCGAUUCAGAUGUUAUUAGACACAUUUACUAGGAUAAUUCUGGAAAAUCCCUUAUCUGCUUAUUGUGUUACUAGUGUUUUAGUGAGAUUAUAUAUCCAUCCAUUUUCUACUGCUUAUUCCCUUUUGGGGUGACGGGGGGCGCUGGCGCUUAUCUCAGCUACAAUCGGGCGGAAGGCGGGGUACACCCUGGACAAGUCGCUACCUCAUCGCAGGGCCAACACAGAUAGACAGACAACAUUCACACUCACAUUCACACACUAGGGCCCAUUUAGUGUUGCCAAUCAACCUAUCCCCAGGUGCAUGUCUUUAUAUAGGCGUACCUAAAAGUCGGAGGGGUGUGGUGACCGCCAGUGUCUCUGAGGGAAGCCACAUUUCUCGACGAGGUGAAGCGAAUAUUCCCCCCCCCCCUCUCCUCCACGGUGGAAGCUUCCGACGUUCAGGGGCGGCUGUUCGGAGGAGGCAAGAGAGUCCGCAGCUGCCUCUUUGACGGGUGCACGAGGAACGACGCAAGCUCUUCGCUCAUGUCUACGGUAAGAGCCGACGUAUUAACACCAUUUUCUCAUCGAAACCUGCCGGUUGACAUGUGGUAGGGAACCAUGUUCGCUUGACCGCCCUGUUCCAUAGUAAAGCUUCACGUCAUCUUUCGGGAAUGCAAAACAAGGAAACAAACACCGGCUGUGUUUGUGUUGCUAAAAACGGCCACAAUACACCGCUUCCUACCUACAUCUUUCUUCUUUGACGUCUCCAUUAUUAAUUGAACAAAUUGCAAAAGAUUCAGCAACACAGAUGUCCAGAAUACUGUGGAAUUAUGCGAUUAAAGUAGACGACUUAUAGCUGGUAUCAGCGCUGGAACAAUAUGUCCACUACAAUCCGUGACGUCACACGCACGCGUCAUCAUACCGCAACGUUUUCAACAGGAUAUUUCGCGCAAAAUUUUAAAUUGCAAUUUAGUAAACUAAAAAGGCCGUAUUGGCAUGUGUUGCAAUGUUAAUAUUUCAUCAUUGAUAUUUAAACUAUCAGACUGCGUGGUCGCUGGUAGUGGCUUUCAGUAGGUCUUUAAUGCCUCUCAUUUUGUCCACCAAACGUUUUAUACUGUGCGUGAAAGCACAAAGGCGAGCUUUGUUGACGUUAUUGACUUGUUGGAGUGCUAGUCAGGCAUAUUUGGUCAAGCUAAUCAAUGCUAACAUGCUAUUUAGGCUAGCUGUAUGUACAUAUUGCAUCAUUAUGCCUCAUUUAAUUUCCUUUACUUAUGUCGUCUGUCUAUUUUGAUUUAUAUUUGCAUGUCACAUGAUCUGUGUGUAACAUUGGCUGCAAUUCUGAUAGUUGUUAGUGUGUCACAUUGUUCCAGACCAAAGCAAACGUUACCCAGCUUGCAUAGAUUGUAAUAACUGUACCAAUUGUAAUAUUUUAAUACUAGACAUAAGAAGACAUGAAAAUAAUAGGUUACAGUAAUGGAGACGUGGCGUAACAAAAUCAUGAAAAAUGAUCUCAGCGUCGCUGGUGGACAAAAUGGAGCGAAUUUUCGCGAUAUUACGAAGAUGAAAGAAGGUUGAACAAAGUGGUAUCAGCGGAGAGGCGCAGCAAUGAGAGUUCUCCCGUCUGUACUUGCCAACAGAGAGUGCUGCUUGUAGUGCUGCUCGUUCUGGUCUUGGUGGCCGUACUAGCGCUGGUCAUCGGGCUGUCAGUGGGCCUGACCGGCAGCUGAGCGGCUGUUGAGUCGGCAGCUCAGAAAAUGAUCAUAAUCGGCGUGGUCUGUGCCGUGCUGGUCGCCAU